GACAGAGGGUGCAAACGUUGUUCGGAAUUACUGGGCGUAAAGCGCGUGUAGGCGGCUAAGUAAGUCGGGCGUGAAAUCCCACGGCUCAACCGUGGAAGUGCACUCGAAACUGCAUAGCUAGAGUCCUGGAGAGGGAGGUGGAAUUCCGCAUGUAGUGGUGAAAUGCGUAGAUAUGCGGAGGAACACCAGUGGCGAAGGCGGCCUCCUGGCACACUCCUGACACUCAUACACGAAAGCUAGGGGAGCGAACGGG
rnacentral:rRNA from 1 species